GUUUAUGGGAAGGAGAGUAGCCAGCAGGGAAGUUGUGGGUGUGGUGGUGUGUUGUGGCACGGAAGGCGUGUACAGGCUGGGCGAGUGGGGACAUGAAUGUAUGAGUGUGUAUGCAUGGGGCCUGGUUGGUGAGUGUGUGCACCUCCCUACGCCCCUUCCCCUUUAAAAAAAAAGAAAAAUUAUGUUUGCCUUUGAAA
rfam:Otolemur garnettii contig015079, whole genome shotgun sequence.